rnacentral:rRNA from 1 species
GUGGGGAAUUUUGGACAAUGGGCGCAAGCCUGAUCCAGCAAUGCCGCGUGCAGGAAGAAGGCCUUCGGGUUGUAAACUGCUUUUGUACGGAACGAAACGGUCCGGGUUAAUACCCUGGGCUAAUGACGGUACCGUAAGAAUAAGCACCGGCUAACUACGUGCCAGCAGCCGCGGUAAUACGUAGGGUGCAAGCGUUAAUCGGAAUUACUGGGCGUAAAGCGUGCGCAGGCGGUUUUGUAAGAUCGAUGUGAAAUCCCCGGGCUCAACCUGGGAACUGCAUUGGUGACUGCAAGGCUGGAGUGCGGCAGAGGGGGAUGGAAUUCCGCGUGUAGCAGUGAAAUGCGUAGAUAUGCGGAGGAACACCGAUGGCGAAGGCAAUCCCCUGGGCCUGCACUGACGCUCAUGCACGAAAGCGUGGGGAGCAAACAGGAUUAGAUACCCUAGUAGUCC